rnacentral:rRNA from 1 species
AGUGAACGCUGGCGGUAGGCCUAACACAUGCAAGUCGAACGGCAGCACAGUAAGAGCUUGCUCUUACGGGUGGCGAGUGGCGGACGGGCGAGGAAUACAUCGGAAUCUACUUUUUCGUGGGGGAUAACGUAGGGAAACUUACUCUAAUACCGCAUACGACCUACGGUUGAAAGCAGUGGAUCUUCGGACCUUUCGCGAUUGUAUGAGCCGAUGUCGGAUUAGCUAGUUGGCGGGGUAAAGGCCCACCAAGGCGACGAUCCGUAGCUGGUCUGAGAGGAUGAUCAGAGACACGGGAACUGAGACACGGUCAAGAGGCCUACGGGAGGGAGAAGUGGGGAAUAUGGGACAAUGGGGGCAAGGAGGAUCCAGCAAUACCGCGUGGGUGAAGAAGGCGUUGGGGUUGUAAAGCCCUUUUGUUGGGAAAGAAAAGCAGCAGGUUAAUACCCCGAUGUUCUGACGGUAACCAAAGAAUAAGCACCGGCUAACUUCGUG